ensembl:lncRNA
AUGUAUCUGGCCUGCAUUGUUGGAUCAUUUAUGAUUCUCUUUGCUGCUGCUGAGAGUUCUCAAUAUGAGGCCAUUCAUGAGAUGCUACAGGCUGUCACCUCCCGUGACAAUCAGGAUGAUUGUAAUCCUUCCAAGAUCACCAUAAAAUGUUGUAUAUGUUUGAAAAUGCUAGCGAAAUAUUUACCCAUUAUAAAUAAUAUGAUUGACAAGGUACGUUUUUACUGUUAUUUCUUUUUUCUUUUUAUUCUUUGUUCCAACAAAGCUCACUAUUUGUGCAUUUUAGUUAUAUAUUUAUUUAAAAAUGUUUAUGAAUGUAAUUUUCUAAGCCAUCCUUAGAAAUUGCAUUUGGUAUUAUUAGUCAUAUUAUGGUUACAGUUUUGUUAUUAAUUCUCUCUAUGAAACUGUUCACAGUAAAUGAUGUACUAAUGUAAGUUUAAUUUAUUAAAACUAUCUUUGUUUCCUCACUCAGAAAAUAAACGCUGUAUGCCAUGCCA